rnacentral:rRNA from 1 species
AUUGAACGCUGGCGGCAGGCUUAACACAUGCAAGUCGAGCGGAGAUGAGGUGCUUGCACCUUAUCUUAGCGGCGGACGGGUGAGUAAUGCUUAGGAAUCUGCCUAUUAGUGGGGGACAACAUUCCGAAAGGAAUGCUAAUACCGCAUACGCCCUACGGGGGAAAGCAGGGGAUCUUCGGACCUUGCGCUAACAGAUGAGCCUAAGUCGGAUUAGCUAGUUGGUGGGGUAAAGGCCUGCCAAGGCGACGAUCGGUAGCGGGUCUGGGAGGAUGAUCCGCCACACUGGGGCUGAGACACGGCCCAGGGUCCUACGGGAGGCAGCAGUGGGGAAUAUUGGACAAUGGGCGGAAGCCUGAUCCAGCCAUGCCGCGUGUGUGAAGAAGGCCUUUUGGUUGUAAAGCACUUUAAGCGAGGAGGAGGCUACCUGGAUUAAUACUCUAGGAUAGUGGACGUUACUCGCAGAAUAAGCACCGGCUAACUCUGUGCCAGCCGCCGCGGUAAAAC